rnacentral:rRNA from 1 species
UACGUAGGGAGCAAGCGUUGUCCGGAAUCAUUGGGCGUAAAGCGCGCGUAGGUGGCCUCAUAAGUCCGCUGUGAAAGUCAAAGGCUCAACCUUUGAAAGCCGGUGGAUACUGUGAGGCUAGAGUACGGAAGAGGCGAGUGGAAUUCCUGGUGUAGCGGUGGAAUGCGCAGAUAUCAGGAGGAACACCAAUAGCGAAGGCAGCUCGCUGGGACGUUACUGACACUGAGGCACGAAAGCGUGGGGAGCAAACAGG